rnacentral:rRNA from 1 species
GACGAACGCUGGCGGCGUGCCUAAUACAUGCAAGUCGAGCGAAUGAAUGGGAGCUUGCUCCCUGACAUUAGCGGCGGACGGGUGAGUAACACGUGGGCAACCUGCCCUGCAGAUGGGGAUAACUCCGGGAAACCGGGGCUAAUACCGAAUAAUCAGUUUGUCCGCAUGGACAAACUCUGAAAGACGGUUUCGGCUGUCACUGCAGGAUGGGCCCGCGGCGCAUUAGCUAGUUGGUGGGGUAAUGGCCUACCAAGGCGACGAUGCGUAGCCGACCUGAGAGGGUGAUCGGCCACACUGGGACUGAGACACGGCCCAGACUCCUACGGGAGGCAGCAGUAGGGAAUCUUCCACAAUGGACGAAAGUCUGAUGGAGCAACGCCGCGUGAGCGAAGAAGGUUUUCGGAUCGUAAAGCUCUGUUGUGAGGGAAGAACAAGUACGGGAGUAACUGCCCGUGCCUUGACGGUACCU